GUUUCCUUUCGUAUGCCACAUACUGAGACCUUGCCCCCACACAACCGAAGUAGAAGGAAAAUUACAGGCUCUCACAGGCCUGUAAUCACCUACAGCGAACCCCUAAGGGGCCCGUCUACAGACUAAGUGGUUGUGGGCAGAGCCUGGCGCUCUGCUUAAGAUAUAGUCGAUACCCACGCCUCGCGGCCUGGGAUGAGCUAGUCCGUAGGUGAACCUGCGGAAGGAUCAUU
rnacentral:rRNA from 1 species